AUGGCAGAUGAAAAAGUUGAGAAGCCGGAUACUAAGGAGAAGAAACCUGAAGCCAAAAAGGCUGACAUAAGUGGCAAGGUUAAAAAGGGUACCCUCAAGACUAAAAAUCCCAAGAAGGGGAAGCCUCACUACAGCUGAAAUCCUAUCUUCGUCAAAGGAGUCAGCAGAUAUUCCCGAUCUGCUGUGUAUUCCAGAAAGGUCAUGUACGAAAGGAAAUACUCAGUGGCUAAAUCCAAGAUUGAAAAGAAAAAAAACGAGAAGGUCCUUGUCACUAUUACAAAACCAGUCGGUGGUAACAAGAAUGGUGGUACUUGGAUAGUAAAACUUCACAAAAUGCCUAGAUAUUAUCCUGCUGAGGAUGUGCCUCUAAAGCUAUUGAAUCACAGCAAAUAAACCCUUCAGUCAACAUGUGAGAAAACAGCAAGCUAGCAUCAUCCUUCCUAGACCCUUCUGAUCAUCCUCACUGGACGCCGCAGAGGCAAGAGGGUGGUUUUCCUGUUAGAAUUGCCUGAGCAGUGGCUUGUUACUUGUGACCAGACCUCUGGUCCUCAAUUGAGUUCCUCUGCAAAGAACACACCAGAAAUUUGUCAUCACCACCUCCACAAAAAUUGAUAUCAGCAAUGUGUAAAUCCCAAAACAUCUUACUGAUACUUCAAGAAGAAGUAGCUGCAGAAGCCCAGGCACCCGGAGGUGAGGUCUUCAACACAGAAAAGAGAAAUAUGAGAUUAUAGAGCAGCGCAAGGUUGAUCACAAAGCUAUGGACUCACAAAUUUUACUAAAAAUCAAUGCUAUUCCUCAGCUCCAGGGCUACCUGCAAUCUGUGUUUGCCCUGACAAAUGGAGUUUAUCCUCACAAAUUGGCGUUCUAAAUCUAUUACAAAGAACCUAAUUA